UACGUAGGGUGCAAGCGUUAAUCGGAAUUACUGGGCGUAAAGCGUGCGUAGGCGGCGGCUUGUGUCAGGUGUGAAAUCCCCGGGCUUAACCUGGGAAUUGCGCUUGAAACUGAGUCGCUCGAGUCUGCCAGAGGGGGGUGGAAUUCCACGUGUAGCAGUGAAAUGCGUAGAGAUGUGGAGGAACACCGAUGGCGAAGGCAGCCCCCUGGGGUAAGACUGACGCUCAGGCACGAAAGCGUGGGUAGCAAACAGG
rnacentral:rRNA from 1 species